GCGACGUGAUGAUAGAAAUUCAGUGGUAUGCGAAUCCACUGAUAUUAAAGUUUGAUGUUAAUUUGAAGUUCCGACAGGUUCUGAUCGC